UGGGUGGUGGUGCAUGGCCGUUCUUAGUUGGUGGAGUGAUUUGUCUGGUUAAUUCCGUUAACGAACGAGACCCCCGCCUGCUAAAUAGUCAUACCAAUGCUUUGCAUUGAUUUUGGCUUCUUAGAGGGACUUUUGGUGACUAAGCAAAGGAAGUUGGGGGCAAUAACAGGUCUGUGAUGCCCUUAGAUGUCCUGGGCCGCACGCGCGCUACACUGACACACGCAACGAGUUUUACUUGUCCGAAAGGUCUGGUUAAUCUUAAAAUGUGUGUCGUGAUAGGGAUAGAUUAUUGCAAUUAUUAAUCUUGAACGAGGAAUUCCUAGUAUACGCAAGUCAUCAGCUUGCAUAGAUUACGUCCCUGCCCUUUGUACACACCGCCCGUCGCACCUACCGAUUGAAUGUUUCGGUGAAACUCUCGGACUACGAAGCGGACGCCUUCGGGCAGCUGCAUUGUAGGAAGUUAUUAAACCUCAACAUUAGAGGAAGUAAGUCGAGCAGCC
rnacentral:rRNA from 1 species